rnacentral:lncRNA from 1 species
AAAAUAGGCCCAAAAUGUAUGACCCAGAACUAAUGAAUGAAGAACUCAAAAUCAAACCGUUGCUUUUUUUUUUUUUAAUUUUAAAACUACCAUGUACCAAUAUCACUUACGUUUGUGAGAGAGAGAGAGAGAGUUUGUGAGAAUGAUAAUCAAGUCCUCGUGAGCAAUACAUCAAGUAAAAGAAACCGUAUCUUGAACAACUUGCCAGAAGACAUACUCAAAGAUGCCUUUAGCGUCCAGAAGAGAGCUACAGAGAUUGCUUCCCACUCGUACUA